rnacentral:rRNA from 1 species
GACGAACGCUGGCGGCGUGCCUAAUACAUGCAAGUCGAGCGGACAGAAGGGAGCUUGCUCCCGGAAGUUAGCGGCGGACGGGUGAGUAACACGUGGGCAACCUACCCUGUAGAUCGGGAUAACAUCGAGAAAUCGGUGCUAAUACCGGAUAAUCAUUUGAAGUGCAUGCUUCGAAUGUAAAAGAUGGCUCCGGCUAUCACUACGGGAUGGGCCCGCGGCGCAUUAGCUAGUUGGUAAGGUAAUGGCUUACCAAGGCAACGAUGCGUAGCCGACCUGAGAGGGUGAGCGGCAACACUGGGACUGAGACACGGCCCAGACUCCUACGGGAGGCAGCAGUAGGGAAUCUUCCGCAAUGGACUAAAGUCUGACGGAGCAACGCCGCGUGAGUGAUGAAGGUUUUCGGACCGUAAAGCUCUGUUGUUAGGGAAGAACAAGUGCCGUUUGAAUAAGGCGGCACCUUGACGGUACCUAACCAGAAAGCCACGGCUAACUACGUGCCAGCCGCCGCAGUAACAC